CACGUAGGUGGCGACGUAAGUCGGGUGUGAAAGCCCCGGGCUCAACCUGGGAAUUGCAUUCGAGACUGCAUUGCUGGAGUACGGAAGAGGAGGGCGGAAUUCCCGGUGUAGCGGUGAAAUGCGUAGAUAUCGGGAGGAACAUCAGUGGCGAAGGCGGCCCUCUGGUCCAGUACUGACACUCAAGUGCGAAAGCGUGGGAGCAAACA
rnacentral:rRNA from 1 species